GGUUAAGCGACUAAGCGUACACGGUGGAUGCCCUGGCAGUCAGAGGCGAUGAAGGACGUGCUAAUCUGCGAAAAGCGUCGGUAAGGUGAUAUGAACCGUUAUAACCGGCGAUGUCCGAAUGGGGAAACCCAGUGUGUUUCGACACACUAUCAUUAACUGAAUCCAUAGGUUAAUGAGGCGAACCGGGGGAACUGAAACAUCUAAGUACCCCGAGGAAAAGAAAUCAACCGAGAUUCCCCCAGUAGCGGCGAGCGAACGGGGAGGAGCCCAGAGCCUGAAUCAGUGUGUGUGUUAGUGGAAGCGUCUGGAAAGGCGCGCGAUACAGGGUGACAGCCCCGUACACAAAAAUGCACAUGCUGUGAGCUCGAUGAGUAGGGCGGGACACGUGGUAUCCUGUCUGAAUAUGGGGGGACCAUCCUCCAAGGCUAAAUACUCCUGACUGACCGAUAGUGAACCAGUACCGUGAGGGAAAGGCGAAAAGAACCCCGGCGAGGGGAGUGAAAAAGAACCUGAAACCGUGUACGUACAAGCAGUGGGAGCCCUGAUUUAUCAGGGUGACUGCGUACCUUUUGUAUAAUGGGUCAGCGACUUAUAUUCUGUAGCAAGGUUAACCGAAUAGGGGAGCCGGAGGGAAACCGAGUCUUAACUGGGCGUUAAGUUGCAGGGUAUAGACCCGAAACCCGGUGAUCUAGCCAUGGGCAGGUUGAAGGUUGGGUAACACUAACUGGAGGACCGAACCGACUAAUGUUGAAAAAUUAGCGGAUGACUUGUGGCUGGGGGUGAAAGGCCAAUCAAACCGGGAGAUAGCUGGUUCUCCCCGAAAGCUAUUUAGGUAGCGCCUCGUGAAUUCAUCUCCGGGGGUAGAGCACUGUUUCGGCAAGGGGGUCAUCCCGACUUACCAACCCGAUGCAAACUGCGAAUACCGGAGAAUGUUAUCACGGGAGACACACGGCGGGUGCUAACGUCCGUCGUGAAGAGGGAAACAACCCAGACCGCCAGCUAAGGUCCCAAAGUCAUGGUUAAGUGGGAAACGAUGUGGGAAGGCCCAGACAGCCAGGAUGUUGGCUUAGAAGCAGCCAUCAUUUAAAGAAAGCGUAAUAGCUCACUGGUCGAGUCGGCCUGCGCGGAAGAUGUAACGGGGCUAAACCAUGCACCGAAGCUGCGGCAGCGACACUGUGUGUUGUUGGGUAGGGGAGCGUUCUGUAAGCCUGCGAAGGUGUGCUGUGAGGUAUGCUGGAGGUAUCAGAAGUGCGAAUGCUGACAUAAGUAACGAUAAAGCGGGUGAAAAGCCCGCUCGCCGGAAGACCAAGGGUUCCUGUCCAACGUUAAUCGGGGCAGGGUGAGUCGACCCCUAAGGCGAGGCCGAAAGGCGUAGUCGAUGGGAAACAGGUUAAUAUUCCUGUACUUGGUGUUACUGCGAAGGGGGGACGGAGAAGGCUAUGUUGGCCGGGCGACGGUUGUCCCGGUUUAAGCGUGUAGGCUGGUUUUCCAGGCAAAUCCGGAAAAUCAAGGCUGAGGCGUGAUGACGAGGCACUACGGUGCUGAAGCGACAAAUGCCCUGCUUCCAGGAAAAGCCUCUAAGCAUCAGGUAACAUCAAAUCGUACCCCAAACCGACACAGGUGGUCAGGUAGAGAAUACCAAGGCGCUUGAGAGAACUCGGGUGAAGGAACUAGGCAAAAUGGUGCCGUAACUUCGGGAGAAGGCACGCUGAUAUGUAGGUGAAGCGACUUGCUCGUGGAGCUGAAAUCAGUCGAAGAUACCAGCUGGCUGCAACUGUUUAUUAAAAACACAGCACUGUGCAAACACGAAAGUGGACGUAUACGGUGUGACGCCUGCCCGGUGCCGGAAGGUUAAUUGAUGGGGUCAGCGCAAGCGAAGCUCUUGAUCGAAGCCCCGGUAAACGGCGGCCGUAACUAUAACGGUCCUAAGGUAGCGAAAUUCCUUGUCGGGUAAGUUCCGACCUGCACGAAUGGCGUAAUGAUGGCCAGGCUGUCUCCACCCGAGACUCAGUGAAAUUGAACUCGCUGUGAAGAUGCAGUGUACCCGCGGCAAGACGGAAAGACCCCGUGAACCCUUUACUAUAGCUUGACACUGAACACUGGUCCUUGAUGUGUAGGAUAGGUGGGAGGCUUUGAAGUGUGGACGCCAGUCUGCAUGGAGCCGUCCUUGAAAUACCACCCUUUAAUGGCUGGUGUUCUAACGUGGGCCCGUAAUCCGGGUUGCGGACAGUGUCUGGUGGGUAGUUUGACUGGGGCGGUCUCCUCCUAAAGAGUAACGGAGGAGCACGAAGGUUGGCUAAUCCUGGUCGGACAUCAGGAGGUUAGUGCAAUGGCAUAAGCCAGCUUGACUGCGAGCGUGACGGCGCGAGCAGGUGCGAAAGCAGGUCAUAGUGAUCCGGUGGUUCUGAAUGGAAGGGCCAUCGCUCAACGGAUAAAAGGUACUCCGGGGAUAACAGGCUGAUACCGCCCAAGAGUUCAUAUCGACGGCGGUGUUUGGCACCUCGAUGUCGGCUCAUCACAUCCUGGGGCUGAAGUAGGUCCCAAGGGUAUGGCUGUUCGCCAUUUAAAGUGGUACGCGAGCUGGGUUUAGAACGUCGUGAGACAGUUCGGUCCCUAUCUGCCGUGGGCGCUGGAGAACUGAGGGGGGCUGCUCCUAGUACGAGAGGACCGGAGUGGACGCAUCACUGGUGUUCGGGUUGUCAUGCCAAUGGCACUGCCCGGUAGCUAAAUGCGGAAGAGAUAAGUGCUGAAAGCAUCUAAGCACGAAACUUGCCCCGAGAUGAGUUCUCCCUGAGACUUAGAGUCUCCUGAAGGAACGUUGAAGACGACGACGUUGAUAGGCCGGGUGUGUAAGCGCAGCGAUGCGUUGAGCUAACCGGUACUAAUGAACCGUGAGGCUUAACCUU
rnacentral:rRNA from 1 species